rnacentral:rRNA from 1 species
AAUAGAUACCCAGGUAGUCCACGCCGUAAACGAUGAGUGCUAAGUGUUAGAGGGUUUCCGCCCUUUAGUGCUGCAGCAAACGCAUUAAGCACUCCGCCUGGGGAGUACGGCCGCAAGGCUGAAACUCAAAGGAAUUGACGGGGGCCCGCACAAGCGGUGGAGCAUGUGGUUUAAUUCGAAGCAACGCGAAGAACCUUACCAGGUCUUGACAUCUCCUGACAAUCCUAGAGAUAGGACGUUCCCCUUCGGGGGGACAGGAUGACAGGUGGUGCAUGGUUGUCGUCAGCUCGUGUCGUGAGAUGUUGGGUUAAGUCCCGCAACGAGCGCAACCCUUGAUCUUAGUUGCCAGCAUUCAGUUGGGCACUCUAAGGUGACUGCCGGUGACAAACCGGAGGAAGGUGGGGACGACGGUCAAAUCAUCAUGCCCCUUAUGACCUGGGCUACACACGUGCUACAAUGGAUGGUACAAAGGGCAGCGAAAGCGGUGACGCCUAGCAAAUCCCAAUAAAACCAUUCUCAGUUCGGAUUGUAGG